rnacentral:rRNA from 1 species
AUGUUCCUACGGGGGGCAGCAGUGGGGAAUAUUGGGCAAUGGAGGCAACUCUGACCCAGCAACGCCGCGUGAAUGAUGAAGGUCUUCGGAUUGUAAAGUUCUGUGAUGGGGGAUGAACACAAUGACGGUACCCCAAUAGCAAGCCACGGCUAACUACGUGCCAGCAGCCGCGGUAAUACGUAGGUGGCGAGCGUUAUCCGGAAUGAUUGGGCGUAAAGGGUGCGUAGGCGGCCUGCUAAGUCUGGAGUGAAAGGUACCGGCUCAACCGGUACAGGCUCUGGAAACUGGCGGGCUAGAGAGCAGGG